UGGGGAAUAUUGCACAAUGGGCGAAAGCCUGAUGCAGCAACGCCGCGUGAGUGAUGAAGGUCUUCGGAUUGUAAAGCUCUGUCUUUUGGGACGAUAAUGACGGUACCAAAGGAGGAAGCCACGGCUAACUACGUGCCAGCAGCCGCGGUAAUACGUAGGUGGCGAGCGUUGUCCGGAUUUACUGGGCGUAAAGGGUGCGUAGGCGGAUGUUUAAGUGAGAUGUGAAAUACCCGGGCUUAACUUGGGUGCUGCAUUUCAAACUGGAUAUCUAGAGUGCAGGAGAGGAGAAUGGAAUUCCUAGUGUAGCGGUGAAAUGCGUAGAGAUUAGGAAGAACACCAGUGGCGAAGGCGAUUCUCUGGACUGUAACUGACGCUGAGGCACGAAAAGCGUGGGUAGCAAAACAGGAUUAGAUACCCUGGUAGUCCACGCCGUAAAACGAUGAGUACUAGGUGUAGGAGGUAUCGACCCCUUCUGUGCCGCAGUAAAACACAUUAAAGUACUCCGCCUGGGGAAGUACGAUCGCAAGAUU
rnacentral:rRNA from 1 species